CUGUCCAUCAGGCAGCAAUGAUCCGUUUGGAAAAGCAAACAGUCUCAAUUUUAUAUAGAUACUAAUCAUAUAAUACUAUAAAAGGUCAAAUAUUAAUUUAAUCAGUUGGAAGGUUAUCAGGUAACACAGCUAUUCAAGACUUCAAACAAUAAUGGUGAUUACUAAUAUACUAGGUGUGUGUGUAUUUGUGUGUGUCAGAGAGUUGCUUAUCUGUUGCCACUAGGACUUUAUUGAAGCCCAAAGAUUCACACUGCAGCCAUUUUCAGUGCUGUUGCAACAUUUCAAAUGAUGCAGACCUUCCGAAUAAUGCUAAUGUGUAGAUAAAGUACAUCAGAGCUUAAAUGCUGUAACCAUGGCAACAACUCACGUGACUUUGCGGUUUACUGACACCGUAACACUCAAACCCUGACUGACUGACAGACAGAGGAAAAAACCAAAGUAAUCCAGCGAAUUCAAGAUGGAUGCCGUCUCCCUUACGCUUCGGUUGGGACCAGGGAAGGCGGAAAAGGCCGAAGUGUCGGAUUGCAUCAGCCACGAGAAGCCAAUCAGGUUCAACUUCCCGAGAGCCCCCCACGUUCAGGCUCGUAGUGUUAACCCCAAGGACAGAGGUAAAAGUGUUGAGUAAACCUUUAAGAAGGCAAAGCAACAUGGAGAAGAAAGAUAGAAAGAAGGAAAAGAAAGAAGAGGCAAAAGAGAUGAAGAACAGGGAGAUGAAAGAAGAAAAGGAAAAGAAGAACAGACGAAAGCAAGAAGAAAAAGAAAGACUUGAGAAAGUAAAAGAAGAAGAACAGGAAAAGAGAAGAGAAAAGCAAAGAAAGAAGAGCGAAAAGGAAGAUGAAAGAAAUAAGAAAGAAAAAGAGGAAGAAAAGCAGGGGAUGACACACGAACAACCAAUCGUACCAAUCCUCAAUACUAAAACCUUAUUGAUUUCCACCACCACCCCUA